CAAUGAUUGAAUUGAGAAGCCCACUUCUGGCCAAGAUGGGACAACAGAAAUUUAAUUACCUCUCCACUAUAAAGAACUGGAAUACUAGGCAAAUAUACAUCAAAAAAUUUUCAGACAUUGGACUACAGGUUCAUAAUGGAGUAGCUGAUUGCAAGAGAGACUGGACCCCUUCCUUGCCCGGUGACAUAUUCUAGCACCAUCCAUCUCUCUAAGAGGUUGCUUCUUUUGAAACCAGCUGAAGAUUAAUUAUGUAUAUGGGACACUUUGGGG
rnacentral:lncRNA from 1 species